rnacentral:misc_RNA from 1 species
AAGUCGUAACAAGGUCUCCGUAGGUGAACCUGCGGAGGGAUCAUUAACACUUAUAACAAAGUAAUGGAUAGUGAUGGAAACAUCAUUUAUUCAACUACUUUUUAUAAAACAACUCGUGAACGAAACAUUAUGUCUUUUCUCCUUAGCUUUUGCAAUACAAAGCUAAGUUAUGUUUUUAUUGUAUUAUUUUUUUAUACAAACCAUAACCUCAAAUGUAUAACUUUAAUAUAUAAAAUGCUUAUCAUUAUUAAUGAUAUGCAUUUAUAUAUAUGUCAAUAGUUAACAAUUUAAGCACAACUCUUAGCAACGGAUAUCUCGGUUCUC